rnacentral:misc_RNA from 1 species
AGAGCUAAUUAAGGUUUGAGAAAUGGGAAUAGAGGAAUUAAGAGCCAUCCCCGAUUCAGAUUUUUUCUCUUUUAUUUAAGUUGGUGGUUGAAUGUUCAUAAAGAUGGGAUUGAAGAGGAAGUGGAUGGACAUGGAUUUCGGGUAUUGUUGAAAGAAAAUUUUGAGACAAUGCGUGGAUUUCAUUUUCAUGUUUAUGAGUAAAAUUGUAGGGAUACUAAUAUCUCUUCCAAUUAACGCUAAAUCACCCAAAUCCCAAUAUCUUAAAUUAGGUUAGUUAAUUGCUUGUUUCAAAGAGCAAAGCUGCAC